rnacentral:rRNA from 1 species
GACGAACGCUGGCGGCGUGCCUAAUACAUGCAAGUCGAGCGAACCGACGAGGUGCUUGCUCCUCUGACGUUAGCGGCGGACGGGUGCGUCACACGUGGUUAACCUACCUAUAAGACUGGGAUAACUUCGGGAAACCGGAUCUAAUACCGGAUAAUAUAUUGAAUCGCAUUGUUCACUAGUGAAAGACGCUUUUGCUUUCACUUAUAGAUGGACCAGCGCCGCAUUCGCUAGUUGGUAAGGUAACGGCUUACCAAGGCAACGAUGAGUAUACGACCUCAGAGGGUGAUGCGCAACACUGGAACUGAGACUGAGACGAGACUCCGGGAGGAGGCAACAGUAGGGAAUCUUACGCAAUGGAGGAAAGCCUGACGGAGCAACGCCGCGUAAGGAAUGAACGUGUAAGGAGCGGAAAGCGAUAUUAGAAGGGAAGAACAAAAGAGGAUGUAACAAUGAACGUCUUGACGGUACCUAAUCAGAAAGCCAAGGCUAACUACGUG